rnacentral:lncRNA from 1 species
GUCUCCAUCUGAAUCUUCUAAUGGCAAGGUCACAAGGGACACAUGACUCAUGAACAAUGUGAAUGGCUAUUGCCCUAAUAUUUUUGGAGGAGUGGCCGAAGUCACUGAUGGGCUGAAUUACUUUCCUCCACCCUACCUGUGAUUGGUGGAUCCUCCCAACCCUGCUUUGUUUUCUCUCCCAUCCUUUGCUCAAGCCUGUGCACUCCGGGGUUGUACUUGCUGCUGACUUGACCAACAAGGGAUGCUUGCUGCUGAUCAGGACUCGAGAAACAAGAUGGAGAGGUAUCACUUCUUUGCGUUUCUGCUCUGUGGGGUCUUUGUGUCAAGAGGUCUCAGCCUUCCCUACAGGAAUUUUUCCAUCGAUUGUGAAACAAUGGUGACAGAUCACGAGGUUAAGCCACAAGAAUCUCCAUCACCCUAUCGUAUUUCUUUACCGUCAGAACGAUACGAUCCAGGGAGAGAAGUGAAAGUAAACGUUGAAGGACCAUCAGAUGGUGCUGGAUUUAAAUGGUUUAUGCUACAGGCCAGAGACAUUGAUGAAAACAUCCCUGCUGGUUCAUUUCUAAUCACAGAUGCAAACACACAGACGUUUGACUGCUACAACUUGUCGGUAUGUGUUUGUUGUUUUAAGCUUGUUGAACUUCUCUGAAACAAACUA